rnacentral:lncRNA from 1 species
CCAGUGAAGUUCAGUGAACUGCAAACCUCAAGACCUUUGCCUUCACAUUUUGAGUACCACUUCCUAAGGAAAGCCUGUGUCUCCUCCACUACAAAGCGUUAGUGCUGGAAGGUUCCCGCUAAACCCCAGCCUCAGAAAGAAAGAAUUAAGUACCUGAGAGAGGGAGCAACUUUUUUCAGAGAUGAUAAACAGUUGGUUUAAGAUCCAGAUCUUGGUCCCGAGAACCGGUCUGGGGUCUUUGAAUAUCUGUGCUAAACUCAGAGAGUCCCGAGGCGUCUGGAGUCCUCUUGAAGAUACAGCCUCCAUGUUCCUGAGGCUCAACAAAUACCAUCAGUGCUUGCAGCUAGGGAGCUCCAAACUUAUCUCCCCACCAACUUCUGCUGCCAAGGAUUAUGUCCAAUGGGUUGGCUGAAAGAGAAUGGCCCUCCGGGGUCCACAGUGCUAGCAACCACCGCAUCCAGGAAGAGUGGGACCAGUGUCCUUCCUCAGCUGGGGGCAGGGUGUGGAGGAGGCACAGAGGUCCUUGUGCUCACAGAUAAGCACCAGGGGAACCAGGAAUGUUAAUCGCACAAGGUAGUUACUUAAUGGGCGAGAUGGAUAACCUGGUUUUGCUUAGAAGGCUGGGAACAGAUGUGGUUUAUAGCUUGGUGACCUUUGGUGUAUCUGCAUGGUCAAAACCAUACUGGGUCUUGAGUUUGUUUUUUUUUUUCAGUUAAUUUAUAGAACAAAUCUUUAUGAAAGACGCCACUUGUAUUUUACAAAGAGUCUCAAUGUAGCCGUAUCUCGAGCUUGGAUGUGCACAUUAUCAAGUUAAUUAUCAACAGGAAAGCUUUUUACCAGUUUGUGUGGUUCUUAAAUAUACCCCAAAUAAACUACACAGGAUCAGACACUCAAAAACUUUGAACCUACACUGGCUACUGAGUCACACUGGAGCAAAUUGCUGCCUUGCCUCUCCGGAUUGACACCCCACUCACGGCCUUCCUGUUCACAGAGCCCUCCACAGGGAUGCCACAUAUCCUAAAGAAGCCCUUGCAAGGCCUGCAGGAAGCUGAGAUCCCACAGAUGCUAGGAACCUCUCCUCCGGUGUCAUGAUAAACAGCCGAGAAAACUGUGACGCUUCGCACGCAGCCAAUGCCUGUGUGAACUAUGACCCACACUAUGCUUUACCGUGGGACACUUGUGUGUCAGCGCACCCAGCCCAGAACCCGGUUCCAGCUGAGCAGGGAGGGCAGGUUGGGACCUUUGUUUACCUGAGAGGAAAGAAGCCCCUGGUAGAAGAUUCUAAUGGCAAAGUGAGCACUUGUCUUUGCAGCAGGCAGAAAGCCCUGCCCUGCCCUUGGAUCGGCCCCGGAGCCAAGCAUGCAUCUGUCCUGCAGUAAAAUGCUUGUAGAUAUUGACAUGGUUCUCUAUGGAGUGACCACAGGGAUCCUAAGGAAGAGGGUGGGG